UUUGUGCAGGUACGAGGGACUCGCGCGUGGCCUCAUACUGGAUUGAUACCUUGGUUCUCAAAAACUGAGGGAAAUACUUACGCUACUUUGCUUCAUCAUCCCUUCCUCUUCGGGGGAAACCAAUGCAGUGCUCAAGAGGUAGCAAGAAGGAUUUUUGGCGUCGUUGCCGGGGAGGUCUUCGCAAAAGUCAACAUACCAAGUACCCAUCACAUACCAUUAUCUCACGCAUUACAUUAUUUGCCAUUUUCCUCUCAUUUUCCUCUCCCCCACUUCACCCUUGCUGUUUUAUUCGCCCUCUCUCUCUCUAUCCUCCCUCUCUAUUUGCCUCUUUUUGCCCGUUUGCUUUUCGUUUGCUUGUGUGUUAGUUUGUUUGCUUGUCGUUAUGGCUAGUCCUUUACCUUCUGUCUCUAUGUCUGAAAUUGGGGAAACUAUGGUCGAUAAUAAUUCUGAUGCUCCUACUAAAGAACCCACUAUCUCACAUACAAAAAUAUUCUGUGUUGGUAGUGGUAAUAUUAUUGGAAAAGGAGUUAUUCAAGAUUUCUUUACUUGUGCCAGUGCUUUACCCUCUAUGGGUAGUUUUAUCCUGCAUAGAACUAGUAGUCUUGCGGACGCUAUUGCCAUGCUUGUAGUUGAACUUGAAAGACAAUUCAUGCACAUGCAUCCUUCCAUACAAUGGAUUUUUCUGGAAUUUUCUAAUAUUAAGCAUUCUUCUAUUAAGCGUGCCACUACUAUCUUUUUGGCUCAUGAGUUAAGAUUCAUAAUAAAAAGAGGCCAAAGAAAUCUUUGCACAUUAUGGGGUGGACACUUGCCGUCCUCCCAUAGAGGCUAUCCUCUUUGAUCAAGAAGAAAUAAUGCGUUUUCAAUCUCUAGACUAUAUUGCUUUCAAUGAAAAUCUUAGAAAAAGGGUUCCUAGCAAUGUUCUAGUUGAUAGAAUUUCUGAACUUAAUGAUGAUUUGGCUAUUCGAAAUAACGAACUAGGAUAUUAUCUUGAAUAUAGGCUCACAAAGUUCUGUCAAAAGAAUGCUUAUAAUGAUGAAUUGGUUGUGCAAUAUGAAGGACCAAAGGAGGAACCUAUACCUCCCAAGGUUGAUCUUGGGGACUUUUGCCCCAUUAAAUUUAGCCCUUUUGAUUACUUUUGCUUGCCUCAAAGAAAACUUGCUGCUGAACAUAGAGAAUAUGAAAUGAGUUUUAAUAAUCUAUCUUACUAUUAUGGCAAUACCUAGAUCUAUUCAUUCUUGUUAUGCCUAGCUAGGGGCGUUAAACGAUAGCGCUUGUUGGGAGGCAACCCAAUUUUAUAUUUAUUCCUUGCUUUUUGAUCCUGUUUAGUAAUAAAUAAAUUAUAUAGCCUCUUUUUUUGUUGUGUUUUUUGUGUUUAAUUACUGUUUUUGCCAAGUAGAACCGUUGGGAAGACUUGGGGAAAGUCUUGUUGAACUUGCUUUAAAAAACAGAAACUUUAGCGCUCACGAGAACUGCUGCCAUUUUUAUUUAGAAGGUGAUAUUUAGUUAAUUAUUUUUGAAGAUGAUUAAUAUAUAAAUUCCUCACGUCCAGCAAUUUAUUUUAGGAUUUUUGGGGUUCCAGAUCUUGCGCUAGCUACAGAUUACUACAGACUGUUCUGUUUUUGACAGAUUCUGUUUUUCGUGUGUUGUUUGCUUAUUUUGAUGAAUCUAUGGCUAGUAAAAUAGUUUAUAAACCAUAGAGAAGUUGGAAUACAUUAGGUAUAACAUCAAUAUAAAAAAAGAAUGAGUUCAUUACAGUACCUUGAAGUGGUCUUUUGUUUUCUUUCGCUAACGGAGCUCACAAGAUUUUCUAGUUUAAGUUUUGUGUUGUGAAGUUUUCAAGUUUUGGGUAAAGAUUUGAUGGAUUAUGGAAGAAGGAGUGGCAAGAGCCUAAGCUUGGGGAUGCCCAUGGCACCCCCAAUAUAAUUUAAGGACACCUAAAAGUCAAAGCUUGGGGAUGCCCCAGAAGGCAUCCCCUCUUUCGUCUACUUCUAUCGGUAACUUUACUUGGAGCUAUAUUUUUAUUUGCCACAUGAUAUAUGUUUUGCUUGGAGCGUCUUGUAUUAUUUGAGUAUUUGCUUGUUAGUUUACCACAAUCAUCUUUUCUGUACACACCUUUUGAGAGAGCCAUACAUGAUUUGGAAUUUGUUAGAAUACUCUAUGUGCUUCGCUUAUAUCUUUUGAGUUAUAUAAUUUUGCUCUAGUACUUCACUUAUAUCUUUUAGAGCACGGUGGUGGAUUUAUUUUAUAGAAACUAUUGAUCUCUCAUGCUUCACUUAGAUUAUUUUUAGAGUCUUAAAUAGCAUGGUAAUUUUCUUAAAAUCCUAAUAUGCUUGGUACACAAGAUUAAUAAUAAAACUUUCUUAUGAGUGUGUUGAAUACUAUGAUAAGCUUGAUGCUUGAUAAUUGUUUUGAGAUAUGAAGAUGGUGAUAUUAAAGUUGUGCUAGUUGAGUAGUUGUGAAUUUGAGAAAUACUUGUGUUGAAGCUUGUGAUUCCUGUAGCAUGCACGUAUGGUGAAUCGUUAUGUCAUGAAUUAGGAGCAUGAUUUAUUUAUUGAUUGUCUUCCUUAUGAGUGGCGGUCAGGAACGAGCGAUGGUCUUUUCCUACCAAUCUAUCCCCCUAGGAGCAUGCGCGUAAUGCUUUGCUUUGAUAACUUAUAGAUUUUUGCAAUACGUAUAUGAGUUCUUUAUGACUAAUGUUGAGUCCAUGGAUUAUACGCACUCUCACCCUUCCACCUUUGCUAGCCUCUCUAAUACCGCACACCUGUUCGCCGGUAUCAUACACCCACCAUAUACAUUCCUCAAAACAGCCACCAUACCUACCUAUUAUGGCAUUUCCAUAGCCAUUCCGAGAUAUAUUGCCAUGCAACUUUCCACUGUUCCGUUUAUUAUGACACACUCCAUCAUUGUCAUAUUGCUUAGCAUGAUCAUCUAGUCGACGUCGUAUUUGUGGCAAAGCCACUAUUCAUAAUUCUUUCAUACAUGUCACUCAUGAGUCAUUGCAUAUCCCGGUACACCACCAGAGGCAUUCAUAUAGAGUCAUACUUUGUUCUAAGUAUUGAGUUGUAAUUGUUGAGUUGUAAGAAAAAAUAAAAGUGUGAUGAUCAUCAUUAUUAGAGCAUUGUCCCAGUGAGGAAAGGAUGAUGGAGACUAUGAUUCCCCCACAAGUUGGGAUGAGACUCCGGACGAAGAAAAAGAAGAAAAAAGAGGCCAUAAAAAAGAGAAAAUUCCCAAAAAAUUGAGAGAAAAAGAGAGAAGGGAUAAUGCUACUAUCCUUUUACCACACUUGUGCUUCAAAGUAGCACCAUGAUCUUCAUAGUAGAGAGUCUCUCAUGUUAUCACUUUCAUAUACUAGUGGGAAUUUUUCAUUAUAGAACUUGGCUUGUAUAUUCCAAUGAUGGGCUUCCUCAAAAUGCCCUAGGUCUUCAUGAGCAAGCAAGUUGGAUGCACACCCACUUAGUUUCUUUUUGAGCUUUCAUAUACUUAUAGCUCUAGUGCAUCCGUUGCAUGGCAAUCCCUACUCACUCACAUUGAUAUCUAUUGAUGGGCAUCUCCAUAGCCCGUUGAUACGUCUAGUUGAUGUGAGACUAUCUUCUCCCUUUUUGUCUUCUCCACAACCACCAUUCUAUUCCACCUAUAGUGCUAUAUCCAUGGCUCACGCUCAUGUAUUGCGUGAAAAUUGAAAAAGUUUUGAGAAUGUCAAAAGUAUGAAACAAUUGCUUGGCUUGUCAUCGGGGUUGUGCAUGAUUUAAAUAUUUUGUGUGGUGAAGAUGGAGCAUAGCCAGACUAUAUGAUUUUGUAGGGAUAACUUUCUUUGGCCAUGUUAUUUUGAGAAGACAAAAUUCCUUAGUUAGUAUGCUUGAAGUAUUAUUAUUUUUAUGUCAAUAUGAACUUUUGUCUUGAAUAUUUCAGAUCUGAAUAUUCAUAUCACAAUUAAUAAGAAUUAUAUUAAAAUUGUGCCAAGUAGCACUCCGCAUAAAAAAUUCUGUUUUUAUCAUUUACCUACUCGAGGACGAGCAGGAAUUAAGCUUAGGGAUGCUUGAUACGUCUCCAAUGUAUCUAUAAUUUUUGAUUGCUCCAUGCUUUAUUAUCUACAGUUUUGGACAUUAUUGGGCUUUAUUAUCCACUUUUACAUAAUUUUUGGGACUAACCUAUUAACCGGAGGCCCAGCCCAGAAUUGUUCUUUUUUGCCUAUUUUAGGGUUUCGAAGAAAAGGAAUAUCAAAUUGAGUCCAAACGGAAUGAAACCUUCGAGAAUGUGAUUUUCUCAACGAAUAAGACCCAGGAGACUUGGACCCUAUGUCAAGGCACAAGAGAGGAGGCCACGAGGUAGGGGGUGCACCUGCCUACCCCAGGCGCACCCUCCACCCUCGUCGGCCCCCUGUUGCUCCACCGACGUACUCCUUCCUCCUAUAUGUAUCCACGUACCCCCAAACAAUCAGAUACGGAGCCAAAACCCUAAUUCCACCGCCAUAACUUUCUGUAUCCAUGAGAUCCCAUCUUGGGGCCUGUUUCGGAGCUCCGCUGGAGGGGGCAUCGAUCACGGAGGGCUUCUACAUCAACACCAUAGCCCCUCUGAUGAAGUGUGAGUAGUUUACCUCAAACCUACGGGUCCAUAGUUAGUAUCUAGGUGGCUUCUUCUCUCUUUUUGGAUCUCAAUACAAUGUUCUCCCCCUCUCUUGUGGAGAUCUAUUCAAUGUAAUCUUCUUUUUGCGGUGUGUUUGUUGAGAGCGAUGAAUUGUGGGUUUAUGAUCAAGUCUAUCUAUGAAUAAUAUUUGAAUCUUCUCUAAAUUAUUUUAUGUAUGAUUGGUUAUCUUUGCAAGUCUCUUCGAAUUAUCAGUUUGGUUUGGCCUACUAGAUUGAUCUUUCUUGUAAUGGGAGAAGUGCUUAGCUUUGGGUUCAAUCUUGCGGUGUCCUUUCCUAGUGACAGCAGGGGCAGCAAGGCACGUAUUGUAUUGUUGCCAUCGAGGAUAGCAAGAUGGGGGUUUCUUCAUAUUGCAUGAGUCUAUCCCUCUACAUCAUGUCAUCUUGCUUAAGGCGUUACUCUAUUUUUAACUUAAUACUCUAGAUGCAUGCUGGAUAGAGGUCGAUGAGUGGAGUAAUAGUAGUAGAUGCAGGAAGUCGGUCUACUUGUCUCGGACGUGAUGCCUAUAUACAUGAUCAUACCUAGAUAUUCUCAUAACUAUGCUCAAUUUUGUCAAUUGCUCAACAGUAAUUUGUUCACCCACCGUAGAAUACUUAUGCUCUCAAGAGAAGCCACUAGUGAAACCUAUGGCCUCCGGGUCUAUCUUUAUCAUAUUAAUCUCCUACUACUUAGUUAUUUCCUUUGCUAUUUACUUUGCCUUUAUUUUACUUUGCAUCUUUAUCACAAAAAUACCAAAAAUAUUAUCUUUAUCAUAUCUAUCAGAUCUCACUCUCGUAAGUGGCCUUAUAGGGAUUGACAGCCCCUAUUUGCGUUGGUUGCGAGGAUUUAUUUGUACGAGGGACUCGCGUGUAGCCUCCUACUAGAUUGGUACCUUGGUUCUCAAAAACUGAGAGAAAUACUUAUGCUACUUUGCUGCAUCAUCCCUUCCUCUUCGGGGAAAACCAACGCAGUGCUCGAGAGGUAGCAGGGACCCACCGAAAGGGCCUCUGUAUUUCGCGAAAAAACAUUACCGCCGCUGACAGCUCGGACCCACUAGCUAUGUCUUCGCACACAAGGAAGUGCCUCCUUAUUACGCACAAAAAAUAAAUACUCCCCCUGUUAGCUGGGACCACUAUAGUGGCAGGCUGACUUGUGGGCCUACUAAGUUGACGGGGACGGAGGGCUUUGUCAACUUAGUCAAUAUGCACGAUUCUAGCUCUAGUGACCGUACGGUGUCCAUCUAACGGCCAUAGUUCUUCUUCAACCUCUGGUACUCUUGCUCCAGCCACCCAAACCAGCGCCGGUCGUGCCUCGUGCUCCUGCCUCCCGUGGCCGAUUGCGUUGCGGCAGAGGCCUCACCGCCCCCUACUACUCCCACCGCUGGCCAGGCCAUCCCUCUACUCACCCACACCCCCUGUUAUUUUGCGGCGACGACAGCCUCACACCGCAGUGAAACAGUGAACCCUCGUACUCCUCUAUGUGUGGGCAUCCACUAUCGCGUCUUCCCCGGCUCCACGCCGUCCCCUUCCUAAUCCUCGCCGUCGUCCACCACCCUAGUGCUCUCGGCGCGGUGUGGUCAACGUGGUCAAGGAACGGCUUCCAUCGGACGUGGACUGUAUGUGGAGAGGCUGACAGCUGGGUCCACAACCGCAGCAAGGAAGUGCCUCCUUAUUACGUGUAAAAUAAUUAUUCCUCCACCUGACAGCGGGGACCCACCGGACGGGCCACCGUAUUUUGCAAAAAAACGUUUCCCCCCUGACUGUUUGUCGGUGUACAAAAAGAGGGGUACACUUUUUGUACCCCUAUAACUGUGCAUGGGCAGUUUGAGCCACGGGCACCACCACACCAAGCAAGGCAAGGGAGGUGAGCCAGGGUAAGACCGAAGCUCAAGAGAACUACGAUGCCAAGGCUAAGACCACAAAGGGCAAAGGGGACGAAGCGGACUCCCCCGGCAAGAUCCUUGCCGGGAGACAGUUCUAGCAGCCCCGGCAAGACCCUUGCCGCGGCGACUCAUCCCGCGCCUACGGAGCAAACCACCCUUGAGUCCACUGCCCCCAAAGGGCAAGGAUUCGGGAGACAUCCCCGUGACGACAUGCAUAUCUUUGUAAAGACAUUCAAGAUCAGAUACGCACUAAGGAGACGACAACCCUUGGCGGGAUCCCAACCGAGGAAGACCACAAGGCCCCCGGCAAGCGCCUUGCCGGGGAUGACAGCAGGCGCCUCGGCAAGACCCUUGCCGGGGCCCCGGCAAGGCCCUUCACGAGGACACCCACGGGGCCACCAUCAGGCCCACGCCGACUAAACCUCCACCACCGCAUGCAUGCAGCUGCCGACCCAACCAGCUGGGCAGGCACCUGCGUGGCGGCAUGCAGAUCUUCAUGAAGACCCACCACUGCGCCACCUCAGCUACCUGCCUACCUACGUGGCAUCGCAAGCGUCGCUGGCCAGGGCGCGUGUCGACACAAGAAGGACCGGCGACGGAUGAGACAGGUUUCUCCCCCGUCCCCGAUAAAGCAAGGACACCUAAGCAAGACACAUUAAAUGCGCCUUGUCAUGUAAUGCGAGGGAUAACCUCGCAUCACUAUACCCUUUCCACCUCCUGUGUGCCACUGUGGCAACCCCUUUUUCUAGAAAAGGAGGCCCGAGGCGACCAGAGGAAGGAUUCGGCUUUUUGGAGCUCCUCACGCCCCAUAGCUAGCUCAAGAACACAGAUAUACAAUCCACCAAAGCAGGAGUAGGGUUUUACGCAUCCUCGCAGCCCGAACCUGGAUAAACGAACCAUGUGCUACCUGUUAGAUCCGCUCUUCUCACGACCCCGCGCCCCGCCAACCACAGUAGGGAUUCUUGUGAUCCCAUAGGUGUCGUUCUCACCAACACUGUUGGGACCCACCAGCUACAUCUUCGCACGCAAGGAAGUGCCUGACAGUCGGGGCCCACCUGGUGGAAGCGUACAUAGCGUUGUCAUUCUGGUCGCGAACGUGUACGUACAUAUAUACUGGUGGAUGUAGAGGCGCGCACCUGUCGUAGUAGAGGCGCGCACGUAGCAUGUACAGGUACGUGCAGCGGCCAGGGUGCAAGAAAGAAAAUACAGCCAGGGCUCGUGUACAUGGUUGGAUCGAAAUGGAGAAACAGCGUCAUCGUCGUGUUCAUGGGGAGGCAAUAGAAUGCGUCAUGUUCAUGGAGAGGCAACAGAAUGCGUCGUGUUCAUGGGGAGGCAAUGGAAUGUGUCGUGUUCAUCGGGAGGCAACAGAACGCGUGGGAGCCAACCGGCUGGGUUGGAACGGAAUGCAUGGUCGUGUUCAUCGGGAGGGCUUGGAUGGAACAGGCAAUGGAAACGAGGCCUGGCGUACGCAAAACGGAGGAAAUGGACCUCCUACGUUCGGAACGGGGUCCUGUUGAUCGGGAGGGGUGUGGCGUACCGCAAAACGGAGCAAACGGACCUCCUACGGUUGAAACGGGGGUCCUGUUGAUCGGGAGGGGUGUGGCAUACCGCAAAACGGACGAAAUGGACCUCCUACGGUCGAAACGGGGUCCUAAUGAUUGGGAAGGGGUGUGGCAUAAAGCAAAACAGACGAAAUGGACCUCCUACGGUCGAAACAGGGGUCCUGUUCAUCGAGAGGGGUGUGGUGUACCGCAAAAUGGGACUCCACGGGAUACUGUUCAUCUCCAUCGUCGACCUCCUCCAGCCUCCACGGGCUACCGUCGACCUCCUCUAGCCUCCACGGGCUCCUAUUCAUCCGGCCUCCACCGUGUGCUACUCCACCGGCUACUGUUCAACCACCCCUCCACGGGCACCCCUCCAUCGUCUACUGUUCAUCCAGCCCUCCACACACGGGGUCCUGUUCAACCACCCCUCCACGGGCACCCCUCCACCGUCUACUAUUCAUCCAGCCCUCCACACCACGGGGUCCUAUUCAUCCAGAGGCAACGCUGCCGCUCACUGUUCAUCCACCCCGCCCCCCCCUCCCGCAACGCUCGCUGUUCAUCCAAUCUAUCGGCUUCAGUUAGCAGCAGUAGCAAAGGAAUCGCUCGAUCUGGUUCAGUUAACAGCCAUCGAUCGAUCGCUUGGGUUCAGUAAUGCGUAGCCUGCAGUGCAAUCGCUCGGGUUCAGUUAGAGCCCAAUGCCUCGCUCAGGUUCAGUUAGAGCCAACGCCUCGCACACACGCGCGUACGUGUACGAGAGAAACGCGCAUCGCUCGGCCCCCGACCUCCCACCGUAACUGGGAACUCCCCGAAAUUUUCCUCCCCCUCGCUUCUACCACGGUUUUUUCUGUCAUGGACGGCCCAAAGAAUGUCAUGCAGUUGCGUCUCCGGCCCGCCCAGGACGAAAAGCCCAUUUUCUAUCAUGAUUUUUUGUCAUAGAAGUAGGAGCCCACCACAUCUAUGAUGAUACCGGGUUUUGUCACAAUUAUCGUCAUAGAAGUGUCAUAUGUAUGAAAGAAAAAAAAUUCGUUCGGCCCAAAAUGUCACGGAUGUGUCUUUUUUUGUAGUGUUGAACAUCACAUUUGCAAAAUUGAACCAAAUAGUUAACUGAACACGACAACUAAUUAACCAAACAGUUAAUAAGUGAGAACCGCAUUGCACGACAUAUAGAACAUAUACACUAGAGCAACAUAUUGCAUGGUAAAAGUAGAUAGCACAAUUCUCUAGAAUUUUUUAAGGAAAGGCAGUAGCUAGCAAACUAAACAUGGGUCCUUAUAGUGACCUAAUAAGACAGGCUACUCCUCAUUAUCGGAGAUAUCAAUGAUGAUUAGCUCCUUGGACAUGGAAGAGGGCGAGGCCUCUGCAUCGUGGGUGCCCUCGCCGUGGUGGUGAGUUGCUUGAGCAGCUCCUGGCACCAACCUGCUGGCUCUCGAGAUGAGGUAAGCACGUGCACACUGAGAAAACACAUCAUAGUCUUUCUCGAAGGCACUGAGGGUGGGCUUGACUAAAUGCCACGAACUGUCGUUUAAAGCAGCCAACCGUGUCGCGUCGUUGGCACGCAAGGCAUCAACGGUGGCCUCGACGGCGAGGUGCUCCUCCAAGAUCUAGGGGUCAGCAUGAAUGGCAGCCAUCGUGACCUCAUUCGUGUGUGCAGCGGCGAUUUGCUUCUCCGCUCCAAAUGCUCCUUGAUAUCCUAUCUAUACCGCAUGCACCAUGGCUUAGGGCGGCGCUUAUUUGGUGGAGGGGUUGGUGAUUUGGGUGGGAGGUGUCGCGCCAACGGUCGGGGCGUGUGGGAUGUCGAAGGAGGAGGAGGAUGGGGGUUGGGUGUGGAUUACAUGCCUGGAUAGACGAGGCCGAGCAGCGUGAAGGAGGGUGACCGACGAGGAGGCGGUGCUGCAAGAAAGGAGUGAAGGUUUCAACUUGGAAAGGAAGGCGGAAAUGGGAGAAAUGUGGCUUUUGCUAAGGGGGAGGGAGCAGGGAGGUAGAUAUUUCCGCGGAAGCCGAAAAUUUGGAAUCGGUUCAGCAAAAAAUUGGCGCGCAAAGUGCCAUCAGAGACGGUCCCUUAUUGAGAACUGUGUACGAUAUGUGAACAUCACAAACAAUUCAGAUAGCUUAACCCGUGUGUGAUGAGUUUGAAUGUCAAAAAUUGUGGUUUGAAUUUCCCUGGUUAUAGUGGUCAUCCAUGUCAUUGCAUAAUUUGGAUACACACAGCAGACUAGAACACACCUGGUUACAGUUUCAAAUAGAACAACAGGAGUGUUGUGUUAAAUUUUGUAAUUUUUCGGGGUUCGUUUGAACAUUUUUAUACAUUAACUGGGUUUUCUAGGCAUUUUAUGUGCAUAACUCAAAUUGAACUACAUGCACAUGCACCAGUGCAUAUAAAUUGGUUGAAAAAUCAAAUCUAUGUCCUUGCUUGCAUGCUUAGGUCCCAUGCAAGAAAUUGGAAUGAAUGUCAAACACCCUGCCACCGUCACUCGCCCGCAAACAUUGAGAUACCUGGUUCUUAAAUUCUAGUAAAUCCAAAAAUCGUCUGAAAUUCAUGAAACUUGGCAUGCUAUCAUGGAGCGCACCAACAUGUCGUGGUAAAAAUUUUGUCCCAUUUGGAGCAGGUUUGGGUAUAAGCUUCUCACAAACCAGAGCUUCUCACAACAAGCCUGAUGGUUUCGGUAGGGAUCGUGCUUCUUUUGGGGACGAAACGAUAUCCGUUGCCUCUUAUUGCUUUCAAAAAAUUUCUAGUGUCAACAUAGAACAACAGGAAUGUUGUGUUAAAUUUUGGAAUUUUUCGGGGUUCGUUUGGACAUUUUUAUACAUUAACUGGGUUUCCUAGGCAUUUUAUGUGCAUAAUUGAAAUUUGAACUACAUGCACAUGCUCCAGUGCAUACAAAUUGGUUGAAAAAUCAAAUAUGUGUCCUUGGUUGCAUGCUUAGGUCCGAUGCAGGAAAUGAGAAUGAAUGUCAAACACCCUGCCACCGUCACUCGGCCGCAAACAUUGAGAUACCUGGUUUUUAAAUUCUAGUAAAUCCAAAACUCGUUUGAAUUCAUGGAACUUGGCAUGCUAUCAUGGAGCGGCAUCAACAUGCCGUGGUAAAUUUUUUGUCCCAUUUGGGGCAGGCUUGGGUAUAAGCUUCUCACAAACCAGAGCUUCUCACAACAAGCCUGAUGGUUUUGGUAGGGAAUGUGCCACCUUUUGGGAUGAAACGAUACCCGUUGCCUCUUAUUGCUUUCAAAUAAUUUCUAGUGUCAACAUAGAACAACAGGAGUGUUGUGUUAAAGUUUGGAAUUUUCCGGGGUUCGUUUGGACAUUUUUAUACAUUAACUGGGUUUUCUAGGCAUUUUAUGUGCAUAAUUCAAAUUUGAACUACAUGCACAUGCUCCGGUGCAUAUAAAAAUUGGUUGAAAAUCAAAUAUGUGUCCUUAGGUGCUUUCUUAGGUCCCAUGCAAGAAAUGGGAAUAAAUUUCAAACACCAUGGCAUUGUUGAUUGCUGGCAAAAUGUUGAUAUACUUUGUUUUUAAAUUAUAGUAAAUCCAAAACUCAUCUGAAAUUCAUGAAACUUAGCAUGCUAUCAUGGAGUGGCACCCGACAUGUUGUGGUAUUUUUUGUGUCCAUUUAGAGAGAAGCGCACUCGAAUAACAACCAACAAAGGCAUUUUGAAACAAAUAGCUGCCACUGUAACAUCUCAAACGUUUUGUAUAAUUUAAAUCGUGUGCGUUCUGGUAACCAUUCACAUGACGCCAAGCCUCACUCUUUUAAUGGCUAGUAGGUGCCGUGCGGACAGGUGCCUGACUAAACGGGAGGCGUGCGAGCUAUACUCCAAUGCAUAGGCUCACCGGGAAGUGAGCCCUUUGACUUCCAUGGCCUCUCGCCUUGCUCGCAUCCUCUCCAUUAAUGGCGCCCAAGCCGCAGUUUAAUACGGUUUUUAAAUAUAAAACAUCACAAACGUUUUAGUUAGAACACCCGUAUGCAAACUGACAGCUUCCCCAGGAAGCCAAGGGAAAAUGUGCCUAGCAGGAUUUGUGUAGCUCUUGAUCGCAAAUGUUUUAGUUAGAACACCCGUAUGCAAACCGACAACUUCCCGAGGAAGCCAAGAGAAAAUGUGGCGAGCAGGAUUUGUGCAUCCUUCAACGCAAAACGUUUGUUUUGGAUGACCCGUGUGCAACCACGUACAAACAAUUUGGUAAGAUUUGCAUCUGUCAUAUUGGGUAUGUUCCAUUUGUCAAACUGGAUAGAUUGACAUUUGUAGAUCUUGUAACAUUGCCAUUUGUCAAUCCUUGUAACACUAUGAUUUGUCAAAAUAUGCAGCUAAAAAUCACUAGCACUAUCUAUUUUUUGCAACUAAAAUUCUGUAAUUAAGCAUAGAUUUCAUUCAUGAAUUAAGCAGUCGCUCUUAAUUCAUACAAAUAGUUAAACUCGACAGCUGAACCGACCAAACUUUCCCCCAAUUGUUGCCAACCACGUACUGAAAUAGAUAGUUCAACUAUAUAUACUAGCUAAUUUUAAGUACGAUGUACAGUUCCACCACAUCUAUAGUCAGAUGAACUGAACAAAAUAGCCUCUAAAUACUACUACUACGGAGGGGCUUUGUACUACUUCUGACAGCCUCUCCUCUACCGAGCACGCUCAGUAAGAGGCAGAGGAGGAGGAGGAGCCUACCGACGAGCUGGACAACUGCAAUACGUACCUGCCGCUACUACACGUUCAGCAACGCUCACCAGCUUGAACGCCCUCUGCCACUCCAGACGACCCCUCUCGAAGCGGCUGGACUGCUCAUAGAUCUCCUGAUUCCUCGCCUCUGCGUCGGCGUGUGUUGUGGCCACGGCUGCGGUAAGGCUCUUUGCAUGCUCGACAAGGCGCGCCUCCUCCUACCACAGGAACUUGAUGUAGCGUGCAAGGUCGCUGACGCACGUGCGGGCCUCCACCUCCGCCUCCCUCCUUCGGGCGGCGGUGGCGGAGCGGGUGAUGAUCCUAGCGGUUGACGGUGGGCUGGCGGCCAUGGCGGCCGAUGAUGGGGUGGCGGCCACGACCACCAGCUCCCCCUUCGGGCUGCGGUGGCCGAGCGAGUGAUGUCCACGUGGCCGGCAGUGGGGUGGCGGCCAUGAUAGCCACCUCCCGCCUUCGGGCCGCGGCGGCGGAGCGGGCGAUGGCCCUGGCUUUCGAUGGUGGUGUGGCAGCAAUGGCGACCGGCAAUAGCUACCGACGGGCAGCGGCGGUGGAGCGUGUGGUGGGUGUUCUGCGCACACCCAACAGGGAUGCCGUGCACACUACACUACGCCGGGAACUGCGACGCCGCCGCAGUGUAGCCUCCCAGCUAGAGCUGUCCUCUAAUGACGGCGGAGUGGCUGAGCGAGAACGACGGGCCGGUGCCAUUGGCGAUUGUGGGAGAAGCAAACGAGAUAAGCUACAGUGAGGGAGGGGAAAAUGCAACGCAGGACUCGCCGGCCGCGAGGGUUUAUAUAGCAGGCCAGUAAGCAUUGGGAUUUUGGGGGAUUUCACCGAGUCGGGUGAGAAGCUUGCGCGGGAACAUGCAAGGUUGCAUGGGAACUGGCUCACUGACGAUUCAUUGGUGCCACUUUGAGCCACAGAUUGGCCAAAAGAACGCCCUCGCACGUUGCAUAAGCUUGCGCUAUUAGUCGUUUGUGGUAGCGGGGUGACAAGACGUGCGAGAGGAGGACGAAAGAACACACACACAUACAGUUAAUAAAAAAACCUUUGCGAUUUAAUUACCUACAAUAGCCCCGUCCCUGUUUAUAAGUAGGAUUUAACUAAUAAAAUACGAAUGCAUGUAGCCAAAGAAUAUAUCCUUGGAUUUGUAUUUGAACAUAGUUUCCAGUUAUACAAUUUUUGUACCAUGCAUUAACAUUUUGUUGGUUAAAUUUAAGGUUAUAUACCAGCAAGUGUUUGCCCGCAACACACAUGGCUUAUUCCAUCACAAACAGCUUGGAUGGAUCAACUGUAAGCCAUGUAUCGCACACGCAACUCUAAUCUGAUUCGUGCUUGAUGUUUCCAACAUCGCUUGCACAAUUCGUCUUAUUUGCCACAUAUCACUGUGCCGGCCUCUGCUUGCGUCCCUCGGUAAGCUCUGGUCACUGUUAAGCACCGCAAUGCGUUGUGCUUGCCGUUAGGUGCCGUGGCGCACUCUGCUUGCGUCCGUCGGCGCGCUCGGCUCGUGUCUGUCGGCGCGCUCGGCUUGUGGACAAUUUUUCCUUGUGUGUUCAACUGCUAUAUGCAUAUAUGUGGUUGCUCGCCAUUGAGGCAAUGUGGAGCGCUCUACUCGCAUCCCUCCGCACGCUCUCUGCCAGCGGUUGGGCAUGCCCGCGAUCACGUCGGGGUCCCCAUAUGCAAGCAGUUGUGCCGCACGCGUUGCCACACGAUGUAGUUACGUGUGGCACGAUGGAGUUACACGCUGCAAAUUAGAACUAUGCUAGGUUAUUCUAGGUCACCUGGCUUCCCCUUUAAUUCCCAUGGCCAUCAGGGCCUGCCGAUAUUCUAGGUCAUCUGGCUUCCCCUUUAAUUUCCGUGGCCAUUAUAACCUUAGUCUCUUCAACCUUUCGAUCGCACCCCACAACACAACAAGCACACCCACAACGACACAUAGAGAGGGGAUGUCUAGCGGCGCUCCGAUGGGGUUCGGUGAGCAUAAAGUGGAGACCCACGAUGACACAUAGAGAGGGGAUCUCUCGGUGUUGUACACCAUCGACCCGGCCGUGGUGGACGAAUACAUCAACACCGUUGAGCAGUUGCUUGCUUGAGACAAGUACAAGGUGGUCAACAUCAACCUCCAGUACACCACCGAUAGUCCCAACAUAGAUCAGAAGGUUGUCAUCGCCCAGUUGUGCGUGCGCCAUCAUGUCGUCAUCUACCACUACUACAUGGCCACAGAGCCUUGCAACCUAUUCACCAGGUUUGCCAACAGCACCGACUACAAGUUUGCCACGGUGGAAACCACCGACGAUGUAAAAGCGCUCAGGGUUACGGGCUUGGUCUUCCAAAACCUUGUUGAAAUCCGUGAGCACUACAGGGUCUAGGGCAGCAUGAAGAAGGACUCCCAAGUUGAACUCGCCUCAGCCAUCAUCGACCCAUACAACGAAAAGAUAAAGCAGGAUGCCAACGGAACAUGUCCCGUAUCCUAGCAUAGGGCCUGGAUGCGGCAACUGGAUGAACCACACCUCAGGUUCAUGGCAAAGAGCGUGUACACAUGCUACGAGAUGCACUGGUGGAUCGUUGACAUGAGUAAGUGCCUUGUUACGGAGAUCGACGAGGCCAGAUCAAGCCACAACUAGAGCAAGCAUCACCACAAGUAGAUGAUGGUCAGAUGAUCGUUUAUCCUAGUUAAUCAUGCAUGUAAUAUAUACUUUUCUUUUGUGUGUGGAAAUUUCAUGUGUGUGGUAGCUAGCUAUGUAAUUAUGCAUGUAAUAGUUUACUUUGGUGUGUGCAAAUGCCAUGGUUGUAGUAGCCACCUAUGUAAGUGGAUGUUUAAUUUGGUUAUGCAACCAUGUCCUUAUAAGUGUGUGUGUGUGUGUGUGUUAUUGUUCGUAUGCAAUCCCAUCGCACAACACACACAUGUUAUUAGAAGCAAUCGUUUGUGUUAUUAUCGGUCUUCGCACACAUUUCUGAUUACAGACCUGUUUGUCGUGUAUGACACACAUCUUGUAAUAUUGAACCAUUUCUGUUCUCUUGUGUCAACGCAAACAGUUUGUCCGCAUGCCGUAUAUCGCACACACCUUGAUCUGGCUGACCGUUUCUUUUGUGUUGCAUAAUCACAAAUAGUUCAUCCAAGUGAACCGUAUGUUGUAUAUCGCACACACCUUCAUCUGGCUGCCCGUUUCUUUUGUUCCUCCUCAUCGCAAACAGUUAAAUUGAACUGAACCGUAUGCCCUGCAUCGCACACGCAACUAAAAUCUGAACUGUGUUUGAUGCAUCUGCCAUUGCAAACGUUUUGCACAUUUUUGACGGUUUUUUAUACCACCGUUUGCGAUUAUUGCAUCGCACACAAUUUCGUCGAAGGGUCUCUGAUCGUAGUGUCGCGUUAGUAGCAUCCUGCAGUAGUGAUUGGGAGCACAUGUCGGCGUGUAUAAGAAUGAAAACAAACGAUAAAAAAAUAUUGGACGGUAGUUCGAAGUCAUGACCGCGGGCACAGCGGACAAGGUGGCCUUGUAUUGGUAUGCUGAGCCGUCUGUUUUAACACACAGGAGCUGGUGUGGUGAUUAUACACACACACGCAUGCAUGCACGCAACACUCACACGAACACAUGUAGCCACCCACGCACGCAACACUCACACAUACACACACAACCACGCACGCACGCAACACUCACACGCACACAGGCGCGCAUGCAUGCACACACCACAUGACCAACACACACUCUCAUGCUGAAGUGCUCAACCUACACGUGCAUGCGCACACAUCAGGCCCUAACAGACACAUACACAACUAGGUGGUUCCCAUGCAGGGUUGGAGUCUUGUCGUGCCUGCAUAAAUUUGUGUUUAUCUGACCUUUUUCCUAUGUGAACUGACAGGUGGGACCAACGAGGAACAUGGUCAAUUUAAGUAGUCAACAUAGUGCCAUGCAGACUAUUUGGUCGGUCAAUAGAGUGCAAUCCGAUGCUGAACGGUGAGCAAGUGACCGUAUAAUCACCGCAAAAUGUAUAUAGUGACUGUAAUGAGCGUAUUCUGAAGUGCGGUGACCGUAUUACACUUUUCUCUUGAAAUACACUGACAGCCCGUGUAUUUAUCUCUUCUCUCGCUCUCCCUGUGGAGCCGAGUAGGCCAACGUGCUAGUGCCUAAAUUGGCGCAUGCCACCCCAUUAUUGUUGUACUGGUUUCGUAAGAGCGAACAAGCAUUCACGUCUACUAUACAAACUGUAGAUAUGAGUUACAAAUGCUAUGAAUACGAAUACACAUAUUUGAAUCAACUUUAUGACCAAUUUCUCUCUGUAGGCCCUCCAAAAGUACAUCUCUACACGUUCUCGAAUGUUACAUCUAACAACUAUGCAAUACAGCACUACUACCACACUCUAACACAAUAAAUCAUAUGUGUUUUUAGUUUUACUAGAUCUCAUAUUGUUACUUAGUUAUUCUGUUUGCAUACAUUAAAAUUGCCUUUGAAAUGUAUGGCUAGUAUCAUGUAUCGCGCGGGAAAAAUCCCGCCCUUGCAUGUUUAAUCGGGUUUGUAUCGAUGGAUCGUGCAAAUCAACAAAACAAUAGUAGUACUACAAUACAAGUAACAAUUCACUAGGCCGCCGUGUCAUGUACUCCUCCGUCAUAAGAGUGGAGCGCUCGCUUUCAUAAAUGUUCUAGUCCCUUUCGCCGACAGGUGGGACAUCAAGCAACUGGGUCCACGUGCCAUGCCGAAAUAAUAGGGAAGAGCAGCAGGUGUGAAGCACCCUAGUCAUGGCGUCGGCGUAGUAGUAAGCAAUGAGGCGUCAAACACAAAGCUGCACCUUUCCCAUAGUUAAGUUGGAGGGAGAAAGUAAUAAUGCUAAAAAUAAAGUCGAAGGGACGAAGCAACCAUCAUUUCACUCGUUGUUGAAUCUGCUUCUCCCUCAUCUUCUUCAAGUUAACAACUUGUUGCUUCUGUCGUUGUUCUGCCUCAUGUGGGACGUGGAUCGGCUUGGUAAAGCACUGACACGUGGGACUGCAUGUUAGCAAACUGCCAGGCCAACGUCCUCUAAAAAUAAGAAACCUCCCCUGCCAUCCGCGCAACAAAAUCACCUCCUUUUUACUAAUCUUAAUACUAUAAUUUUUUAGAUCAAUAUAAUCGAGAUUUGUAUAGAUAGCACACAGGAGCAAAACCAAGUGGUACGGUUAAGGGCAUCCAUAAUGUGUAUCCAAAAUGUGAAAAUAGCUUUCGGCAUCGAUGGGAACCAUUGUGGAUGGUGCUGCCAAAGCCAUAAAAAUGGAACCAAAGCUCCCUAAUUGAUUGAUUGAAGGAAUAAAAAAUGCAACCUCUCUCAUCUUUCUCCUGUGCAUGGACGCAUGUACACUAUAGAGCACAGAGUCUACUCCCGUGUCCCUUCUAUCACAAAUCACAAAGUAGCGAGGCAUCAAAUCACAAAGUAUGGGCGAAGCAACCAUCAUUUCACUCUUCGCUAACUCCGCUUCUCCAUCGUCUUCUUUGAGAAACCACCUUACCGCACUAAGUUGGAUGGACGACGCUAUUAUGUAGUACUAGUACAUUUACGCAUCCUUUGGUUCAACGAACUUCCUAGAAGCAAAUAAGGCGGAUGUCUCGGAUUGUAGGAGGCACUUGCUAAUGACUUACCGUGGUCUCCCUCAAUGGAGUUCUCUGUUGAACGCACUUCACGAAACCACAACAUUCGCGAUAUCAUCAAUGUCACCACAAUGGGGAAGGAAGUCAAAUAGUUACUACCUACAUUAUCUGUACACAAGGACACUAACACUAAUCGAGGCAAAAUUGAUGGGGUUUGCCUCGUACUAGCAACCAAGGACAUUAAUACAACAUUGCAUGCAUGUGGAAGUGAGAAGGUUGGUUUGUAUGGUGCUGCAUUAAUCAAGUGAUGAGGAGUGAGAUGGUUAACUCUUUGGGCAUUGGAGAAAAAAUACGCAUUAAUUGACACAUCAAACGAGGAUUUGUAUCAAUCAUUCCCGCGAAGGGAAACCCCGCCUAUCUUUUUUAACACAAGUGGUACUCCUACAUACGUACUUGUAUCCUAUUUGGGACUAGGCCUUGCAUUGCCGUACUUCGCCACACAUUUUUUCAAGCAUGCCUAAAGUUUUCAAAAUGAAAAGGAGGUACACUUGCGCACAGCUGUCACGGUCGCACCGCACCCUCACACAAUCGCUCCUGCAUGCCGCAAACCAAACCAAGGGAAUGCACCCUCACUGACACGUGCUACCGCAUGUGAUCAAACCAAACUCAUCCAUCCUACCACUGACACAUAAUUUCCGUUCAUAUAGUAUGUUUUUCCGACAGCAUGUUGGGGAACAUCCGUACGGCCGGUGCGGUGGUCUGUUGGGGAAUCAGAAGGGUUAGGAGACGUAGGAUAUUCAUCCAACCGCCUGAAAUAGUCGACUCACCCAAAUGAUGGAAGUUAGGCAACUUGCAUAAAUAUAUGUUUUUACAUAGCAAAAGAUCCCUAAAAACAACAACAUAAAGAAAAACUAUCACUACUCGCGGAACAAGACACCUCGUCGUCUUUGGCUGCCGGCGCGAACCGGCCGUAGCUAUCGAUGUGUGUCUCCGCACUGUAGUUGUCCUCGGCCUCCAGCUACUCAUUCAUGUGGAGCGUGCGGGCGCUCUACACGGAUGCGAGCACCGCCCGGUUCAAGUCCAGGACGACCGGUUUCGCCUACAGGAGGGCCUUGAUGGCAGUGGCAUCCAUGCGCUCCGUGUUAAGUUGAGCCUGCGUCGCCCGGUUCACAUCCACGACAUCCGGUUCUGCCUGUAGGAGGGCCUCGAUGGAAGUGGCAAGGGCGCGCUCCACAUCGAGUUGAGCCUUCGCCUCCUGGUCCUCCUUUAGUAUCGCUAGGUUGAACUGCUGGUCCGCCUGCACCAUGGGGGACCCGGACGCCGGCACGAAGUCGAAGUCCAUUGUCUCAUACGCAUCGGGAGCCUUCUGCGCCGCGACCUCUGCCAUGAACAUUGGAUCAGCUUCCUCUUGCUUGGAGCUUGGCUCUAGAGAACUCGGGGAUUGACCCGCUGCAAAGCGAGCUUGGGAAUGGAGGUCUGUGGCGCCAACCGCCACCGCGAUUUCUGCACGGUGCUCUGGUGUUAGCAUCUUUUAGUACGUGAUCUUGCGGCGCGCCUUGGCUUUCCGAUGAACUAGGGGAUGCUUGAUGCAGGCUAGGGGAUCGAAAGGUGGGGGAAUUGGCUGGAGAGGAGGUGUGGUUUUGGGGCAGUGGCUGGUGUAGGCCGAGCAGCGAAGGUUCUGGUGUGAAUAGUGGUUCCGGUGACGACUUGUCAAUUGGUUUUGACUAUACAUCGCUCUUGUCGUGUUCGCAUUGCACCCCGGCACGCUUGACCCUCCAUGUCGCUCACCGAAUGGAACACGCUUCAUCUUGCAUGUUUCCUUGCUUGUGGGACCGCAGUUGAGAGCAAGCCAACGUCCCUCCCCCUCCCCCGCCCACGUCAUUUAUACUACUAUUAGAAGAGAGAGAGGUCGACCGAGUGUUACUAGUACUCCCACCAUUUUAUGCGGAGUAAAUAAAAACAGAGGGAGUAUACUACUAGUACUAUGAGCACUGCAUACUCUACUGCAGAUGUUGUCAGUACUCCAGUAGUACUAUUGGAUAUGGAGCUUAAAAAAGUUACUAUUGGACUGGCUAUACGUGGUGAAAUCCUAGUAGGAAGAGCAUGCACGAGAACAAGCACAUUCACAUGUUUGAAAACAAAUUGGAAACCAUCUCUGUUUGAAUACAAAUCAAGGAGUACGUACAAAUAUAACAAUAUUGAUUUGGCACUGUUGAAUGUUGUUACUUUUUUCUAUAAGUUUGAUCAAAGUAGAGAUACUUUGACUACACAUAAAAAUUAUAUGUAAACUAGAAAGGAUCGGAGGGAGUAUAUUGUACAUUCAAAAAUGAAAUGAACAUCAAAUACCCUUUAUAUAUGAUUUGCUGAUGCUAUGAUCACUGGUUCAAAAUUUUGAAUACGCCUUAGGUAUCACACAUGCACCCACUCGUUCUCUCUCGGUUUCAUCUUGGGGUCCGGAGAUCGAUUGAAAGAGGACUAGGGUGGGUAUAGUACGUUCGUUUCGCUUUUGAACGUAGAAUAUACUCCCUCCGAUCCCCACAGCCCCUCGGUCAUUUCUGUCAGAGAAACACACCAAACCUUUAUUUCCUUGCACGAAAUGCACUUGAUCACUCACCAUCGAUCAACCUCCUCAAGAUGUGUCGGGGCAUAAACCGAAUGAUACUCGGUGGAAUGUUCAAAUGAAGCAUGCGGGAGGAUGGACUCGACCGGAGGGCGGCAUGAUCGAUGGUGAAGAGGGUUUGAGAGGAAUGAGAAAUAAGCAAUGCCACAUGAUUAUAAUUGAACGGCUCAAAUAAACAAUAAGUUGUCUCGUUUUCCCUUCCGUCUUGGUCACAGAGUAAGAUACUCCCUCAGUUUUUAUUUACUCUACAUAUUAGGUUGACUGAAGUCAAACUUCAUAAAAUUUGACCAAAUUUAUAGAAAAAAUAUGGACAUUUACAAUAGAAAAUCUAUAUGAUGUGAAAGUAUAUUCAAUAAUGAAUCUAAUGGUAUUGAUUUGUUAUUGUAUAUGUUAUUAUUUUUGUCUAUAAACUUUGUCAAAGUUUACAAAGUUUGACUUUGGGCAAAGCUAAAAUGUGGAGUAAAUAAAAAUAGAGGGAUCACGCAGGGACUAGUAUAGUUACUACUGUCGGAACAUGGUAAGUUGGACCCCUAAAUGCGGGCAUGGACCGGGCACUCCUCAAUUAUUCCUUCAAACAAUCGGAUACCCACAUUAGCACACCAUCCGACUACUUAAUCAAGUGUUACGCUUCACUAGUUGAAAAGGAAAAGGGUGGUACCGUACCCAAAACCACCACACUUGGGGCUAGGGUAACUACUUGGUACUGUACCACAUUUGAACCAGGACACAAGAACCACCUGUUAUGCGCCUAAUGCGCAACUCGGAGCACUGACGCUCGAAUUUGGCUGGGAAAACAGGGAAACAGACAUGUGGGGCACACCUGUCGGGACGACAUGGCGUGAACUAAUCCAAUGGAGGAGCUGGCCCACGACCUCCUCGCCAUCGGCAACCGUUCAUGUGGGCCGUGGGGGCCAGCAACAUGGCGCAGCUCCCGCACCGCCUCUGGACAUGGCGACCGCGGUGAGCGACACGCUCAUCAUCGCUGGACACGGUCGGCUUCAGGGUGCCAAGGGUGUCAUUAGAGUUGUGGCAUGACCAGUAGACCAACACCCGGCUCAUCAAGGAUGCAUGAGGCGCCGAAGUGCGCGCGCACUGCGACGCAUCCGCGGAGUGUUGUAGCGCGGCCAACUGCAUCCCCAGGACCUGAGACCAUGCCGAGUCGUCUUGCUUUUUCAAUGACAUGUGGGGAUUGUAUAUGAGCAAAGGGCAUAUCCAAUGUUGCCAUGACUGCAACUGACUACCCUGGCACACCAAAAACCCUCGUCCUGCAGACUAAGGCAUAGCCUAGUGGUGGGAAAGGGCUGAUGCCUUCCCACCCACCCAGGUUCAAGGCAUGGUACUUGCAAUCUGGGUUUAUUGCACCAAUUAUACUAUAUGGGGUUCCCUUACAGUCUUUCUGUCAAAAAAACCCUCGUCCCUUGUGUCGUCGCGCGGUGCGUUCCCAACCGGCGCCAGCUGCCCUCAUUCAUGCCGUCCGUCCGUAUGCCGUCAUUAAGAGGCUCAGUGCCCGAGGAACCAACUCCAGCAAAUUAAUGACGCACCCGGACGCUUGGCCUCACCGAAAUGCGCUACUUAAAACGGCAACGCCUCGCUAAAAUCCACACCAUAGCGCAUCGUCCUGCUACCUAGCACUACAUCCGCCAUGACUACGAGCGCGAACGCUCUGCGGGAGAGCUUGUCUUCGGAGAUGGAGAUCGAGGUCGCCGCUCUUGCUCAAGUCUCGGCUCGCAACGCAAUAGCGGCUUAGCCGGACGUGGACGCGACCGCACAAGUGGUGGCCACGCUAGUGGCCAACGAUGGGAUCACCGUCAGCCACGUGUCCUACUUGCCACCGUCCAACGUUUGGUGCCGCAUGUGGCAGGUGAAGCGACGGACCAUCCACGUCCAUCAUCAUCGACCUCACGUCCACCGGCACCGCCGAGGUCGGGGACUCCUACAAGGAUGAGUAGGGCAUGGUAGGCGGCAUGGCAUGGUGUGCCAACUGGCCGGUCUGUCUCCCGUGUUCUACUCUUCCUCACCGGAGACCACACCUUCACUUCACACGUUUUGAACCCCGCCCCCGUACAUGGAGAUCGUAGAUGGAGGACGUCGGUCGCCGCCGUAGAAUAGGUUUAGGGUCGGGUUUCUCUUUUUUUGUCCUAUAAAAGUUCGAAAUGUAAUGAAAAUCUGUCGUGUUUGCAUGAAUCUCAUCCGGUGUAUAUGAACUUUCACAAUAAUAGUAAGAUAUAUUGUAGGAGUAUGAAAAUGUAUGGAAUGAUGACUCGUUUUUGUGUGUAUAAACAUAGAAGGUUUGACCCAAGACAAAGCUAACAUGCGAAGUAAUUAAACACAUAGGGUCUACAUACACAAUUUAUCUUAGGCACUCCAAUAGUACAUCCACUACACAUUCACGCAUUUCACAUCUUUCUAUAUCUACGGGAACCUACGAAAGGGUUAACAUAAAUCUCCUCUCUCCCCCCUGAUUUUCCUAGUGGUGGGCCCCUCCCUCCCCCAAUCUCCAACCAACAGCUCACACAUUUCACAUUAUGUUAAUUACCUAACUAGGAUUACGUAGUUGUAGCAUUACUCGUCCUAAAAACCAACUAAGCCAACCUCCUAGCAUAUCGCGUUGGAAAAGACCCAGCCGCAUCAUUUUAGUCGGGAUUGCCGGAUUACUAGUAGUAGUACCGAUGAAUCGCGCGAAGCACCAAGUUUUUUUUGAGGGGGCGAAGCACCAAGUUUAAAAGGGGAAAAGGCGGUACACUCACAGCACGCCUGUUACAGCGGUCGCACUGCACCCCUCACACGGUUGGUCCUGCACACGGCUCACGCAAAUGGAACACGCUUCGGCUUGCCUCUUCACUGACACGUGGGACUGCACUUGGAGAAACCGACCAUGUGCCAAACUCCCCUCCUACCGCGAUAACCCCCCCCCCCAAAAAAAAUUCCCCCCAAACCCCAAAUUCAACCACCCUUCAGCCAACUAGCCAAUAAUAUUCUCCAAACCCCCCUCCACUCCAUUCCCUCCGCCAAAGCCACCCUCCCUACUGCGCCGAUACGUCGGCGCCGAGGUUCAUCGAGGGGACGCAAGGCGAUCAUCUUGCUCCCACAUUACACUCUCAUACACUGCCAUCCUCUAGCCGCGCGCGCCAUCACUGGGGACAUUCUUGUGGAGACGCACAACGGUCAGCAUCUCCCACUAUACACGGAUUCUAGACUGAGGCCAUGUGCAUAUCGGAGUAGCGCUGACUGUUAGCUGAUAGACGUUGUUAAUCUCACUGUUUGCCCAAGUAGUUUACAGUCAAUAUGCUUAGGUUAAGAAGCUUCCUUGUCCUGUUCUGCAGUCAAUCUGCUUAGCUGAGAUGGCAUGACACGCCCGAUUAGUUGCUAAAAUAUCCUACCAUAUAUUUAUUGUGACAUAGAUUUCCAUGCUUUAGUAGCCAAUCUGUUAGGUGAAAUAGCUCUACACUAUUUUAUGCUCGAGCUUUGUUGCUGAGAUGGCCUUCGAUGGUUGUGUGCUCAGCCUCAUUGAUUGCUGAAACAGCCUUGAAAGCACAAGUGCUCCUUGGGUGGUUUUGGUAAUUAAUGUCAACAUAUCUCUUCUUGGACUAAUACUUUUAUCUAGUAUAUUUUAGAUGAGUUCAACAAUGGAGUGGCUUGGACAAGAGGAUGUGGAACCCCUUCUAGAUGCUAAGUAGAGAAGAUUGGCAAAAGCUCAAAAGCUCAAGACUCUACAUUUUCAUUUUAGUGAUCCAAGAUCAUAUUGAGUCCACGGGAAAGCCAAUACUAUUAAAAGAGGAUGAGGUAUUCAAAUCCAAAUCUGUGAGAGAGAGUUGAGUGUUGGGGAGGCUAUCAUUUGGAGAGUGGUGUCUCCUAGAUUGGUUAGGUGUCACUUGGGAGCCUCCGAAAAGAGCAAGGAGUUCAACAUCAACACACCAUCUAUUACCUUUUGGAAAGUGGUGUCUCCUAGAUUGGCUAGGUGUCACUUGGGAGCCUCCGAAAUGAUUGUGGAGUUGAACCAAGGAGUUUGUACGGGCAAGAAGAUCGCCUACUUCAUGGAGAUGGCCAUGGUGGGAUAGACAAGGUUGCUUCUUCGUGGACCCUUCGUGGGUGGAGCCCUCCGUGGACUCACGCAACCGUUACCCUCCGUAGGUUGAAGUCUCCAUCAAUGUGGAUGUACGAUAGCACCACCUAUUGGAACCAUGCCAAAAUCCUCUGUGUCUCCAAUUGCAUUUGCACACUCCAAUCCCAUCCCUUUACUUUCUUGCAACUUGCAUGCUUUACUUUGCGCUGCUCAUAUACUCUUGUCAUGCUUGCUUGAAAUGUAUUGUGAAUGUUUAAACUUGUGCUAAAACUCCACCUCAACUUAAAGAUACUAAAACUGCUACUUUUCUUUGCUAAGAGUCUAUUCACCCCCCUCUAGACACCUCUUCUCGAUCCUUUCAAGCGUGCCAUAAUUUGGCACUCAAAUAAGUUUGUUGAAUUAGCUUUACAUAUAUUUCAUUACUUAGAUCUUCUUGUCCAAAUAUCUUGCCAUAGCUUGAGACAUCGACCUAGGUGUUUUUUCUAGACUUCAUAAAAAAACAUAUAUGUUUUUCCUGCAAUAUCUAGUAGAAUAACUAAUUUGUAUGUCAAAUAGAUGGACAAGACUUGGAUAACUUCUGCUCGAAGAUUCUCCACUGCAUAUGUCGAGGGGGUUGAAAACUUCAUGAACUUUAUCAGAGCUGAGUACGGUGGUCCAAAAUCAGAUGUGCUCUGCCCGUGUAGCAGUUGUAUGAAUUCAGUUACAAGACCACAGUCAACUGUGCAAAAUCAUCUAAACUUGUGUGGGAUGUCGGUCACAUAUAAUAGGUGGUUCAUCAUGGUGAAGCUGUGAACGUCAAUGUUACUAACUAUGUGGAAGCAGCAUAUCAGCAUCUUGAUCUACCUGAUGCUCCGCUGGAAGAGGAGGAGGAGGUGGUGGUGGCGGAGCCAGUGAGUUUGACCAACAUUGAAACAAUGCUAUGAAAUGCUCGUGCAUUUCGUGAACUUUCACCCGCAGAAGAAAAAUGCUGGCCCCCCAUGUUGGAAUUAUGCAACGUGGUUGUCACCCAAGGAAAUAAGUUGUCUGUAUUCUCAGCUAUGGUCACCUUUCUUCAGGUGAAGACAUCCGAGCGGAUGAGCAACAAAUCAUUUCAUGUGAUGUUGGCUGCUGAUAAGCCACAAGUAUAGGGAAUCGCAACAGUUUUCGAGGGUAGAGUAUUCAACCCAAAUUUAUAGAUUCGACACAAGGGGAACCAAAGAAUAUUUGAAGGUAUUAGCAGUUGAGUUGUCAAUUCAACUACACCUGGAGAUUAAUUAUCUGCAGCAAAGUGAUCAAUAGAAAAGCAGUAUGAUAGUUUUGAUAAUAGUAGCAGCAGUAACGGUAACAGUGAUAGCAGUAAUUUGGUAGCAAGUGUAACAGUGAUGAUAGCAAUAGUAACUUAGCAAGAACAAUAUAAGAUAAAAUCAUAGGCAUUGGAUCGGUGACUUGUUGGAUGAUAUUCAUCAUGAGACAGUUAUAACCUUGGGCGAUACGGCACUAGCUCCAGUUCAUCAAUAUAAUGUAGGCAUGUAUUCCGUAAAUAGUCAUACGUGCUUAUGGAAAGAACUUGCAUGACAUCUUUUGUCCUACCCUCCCAUGGCAGCGGGGUCCAUAUUGGAAACUAAGGGAUAUUAAGGCCUCCUUUUAAUAGAGAACCGGAACAAAGCAUUAACACAUGGUGAAUACAUGAACUCCUCAAACUACGGUCAUCACCGGGAGUGGUCUAGGCUAUUGUCACUCGGGGGUUGCCGGAUCAUAACAUGUAGUGGGUGACUAUAACUUGCAAGAUCGGAUCUAGAACAUGGAUAUAAUGGUGAUAACAUAAAUGGUUCAGGUAUGAAAUCAUGGCACCUGGGCCUAAAGUGACAAGCAUUAAGCAUGGCAAAGUCAUAGAAACAUCAAUCUAAGAACAUAGUGGAUACUAGGGAUCAAGCCCUAACAAAACUAACUCGAUUACAUGAUGAAUCUCAUCCAACUCCGCACCGACUAGCGAGCCUACAAAGGAAUUACUCACUUCCGGUGGGGAGCAUCAUGGAAUUGGUGAUGGAGAAGGGUUGGUGAUGACGAAGAACGAAGAUCCCCCUCUUCGGAGCCCCAAACGGACUCCAGAUCUGGCCUCCCGAUGAAGGACAGGAGGUGACGGUCAAUCCGUCUCGUGGAUCAUGAUAAUUCUUUCUCCCUGAUUUUUUUUCUGGAAAAUAGGUAUUUAUCGAGUUGGAAUCAUGGUCUGCAGGGCCACCAAGUGGGGAAAACCCACCUGGGCGCGCCUGGUGAGGGGGGCACGCCCUGAUGGGUUGUGCCCACCCAAUUUCCCCCCUUCGGUAGGUCUUGGCUCCAGAAAUUCUCUUUUAUUAUAUAAAAAUUCCUCGCAAAAUUUCGUUCCAUUCCGGGAACUUUUAUUUCUGCACAAAAACAACACCAUGGUAGUUCUGCUGAAAACAGCGUCAGGCCGGGGUUAGUUUCAUUCAAAUCAUGCAAAUUAGAGUCCCAAACAAGAGGAAAAGCGUUAGGAGAAGUAGAUACGUUGGAGAUAUAUCAACUCCCCCAAGCUUAAACCUUUGCUUGUCCUCAAGCAAUUCAGUUGAUAAACUGAAAGUGAAAAAGAAAUACUUUUGCAAACUCUUUUGCUAUUGUUUGCAUAAAUAAGCUUAAACAGCACCCAAGUUUUGAGCCAACAUUAUAAUUAACCAUGCUGAUAAUAACUCCUAAAGAUUAUAUUAAUUCAUGUCAAUGACAUAAUCAGCUAGCGAGCAAUAAUAAGACAUCUGAAACGGCAGCACGUUGUCAAAACAACCAUGAUAUAAUAUGACAAUAGUGGUAUCUCGCUAGCCCUUUCUGAGACUGCAAAACAUAAAUGGAGAGCACCUCCAAAGUCCAAGUAGCGACUAAACAUUGUAGUUCAUGGUAGAAAAGAUCCAGUCAUGAUGCACCCAACAUUAGCUACACACAAUGCAUAAGUCAUGACAACUGUGCUCUCAGGUUCUAGCACUUGUUUUAGAAGGUGAUGACACAACAUAAAAGUAAAUAGAUAGUCCCUUCACAGAGGGAAGUAGUGAUUUGCAGAGGUGCCAGAUCUCAAUUUUUUAAAACAGAGAUAAAUGAUAUUUUGAGACAUGCACCCUUCUCAUUUACUUCACGACCAUCAGUUAUCAAUAUCUUAUCUCCCAUGCUAAAAAAGCUAGUGGCGGUUCCCAAGCGAUAAAAAGUAAAGGUUUUGACUCCAUUGGGAGUUUUUGUUUGAUUAUUUGAGAGAUUAACUCUUUUUGUGUUUGCAAUUUGGGACUGGGCAUCCCUAUUACCGCCCUUUUCUCGUGCGAUGGCGAGUGAAUAAACACUCGACUUGAGAAUAACCCGCUUAGCAUGGAAGAUACCGACUACCUCCUGUUGUUCCAUUAACAAUCCAGGCACACAAAAUGGAUAUUUUUUUAGAAGUUUUUAGAGGUGGCACAUGCAAAUUUACUUAGGAUGGUAGGGUAAUACCGCAUAUAGGUAGGUAUGGUGGACUCUUUGGAAUAACUUUGGGUUCAAGGUUUAUGAUGUACAAGCAGAAUCCCCACUUAGUAUAGGCGAAGGCUAGCAAUUAGAUUGAGAAGCGACCAACUAGAGAGCAACAACGAUCAUGAUCAUGCAUUAUGCAUAAGUAACAUUCGACACUAGCAUGAGUAGGAUAUGAUCACCAUGAACAUAAAUAUCAUAGAGGCUAUGUUGGUUUUGAUUCAACUACAUGCAUGAACAUGUGCCAAGUCAAGCCACUCGAACAUUCAGAGGAGGAUACCAUAUCAUCAUACUACAUCACAAUGAUUUUAACGCAAUGUUGAUAUCCAAGAUAAAUCAUUAUCCACUCCAGCUACGUAUGCAUGGCUUGAGAAACUAUAAUCUCUAAUUGUCAUUGCAAACAUGUUUAAUCAUAAUGGGCUGAAUCAUGGAUACAUGGUUAUACAUAUUGACACUAACAAAACAAGUCGAGUUCAUACCAGUUUCUCUCUGCCAUGGACAGUUCAUCGAAUAUUGUCAUUCUUGCAUUUCACUUGCACGACUGAACGAUGUGAAAAUAAUAAUAGUGCAAGAGUGCCAUGGACUAAGCUGGAAUCUGCAAACAUUUUAUUCAAUAGGAGAAGACAAGGUAAAAUGGGCUCUUUAUUAGUUCAACCGUUAUUCAUAUGAGAGCCACUCAACAUUUUCAUUGUGGUCUUCUCCUCGGUAUGACUCAAAUAAAAAUAAAAGAAAUUCAGAGAAACACACUGAAAUAUUUUUGGAGUUUUUGGUUUUCUUGAGCAAGCAAAUAAAAGGGAAAAGCAAAAACGAGAAUAACUAUUUACACGGGAGAGCUCCCAACAAGCAAAAGAAGAACAAGGAAAUCUUUUUGGAUUUUCUUUUUAAUAUUACUACUAAGCAUGCAUAGAAAAUAAGCUAGCUACAACUAAUUUUUUUGGUUUUUUCUGAAGUUUUUCAAACACACAAUAAGAAAGCAAGAAAAAUAAAAUUUAAACAUGGAUCAUACAAUGGAAAAGUGUGAACACCGACAAGAUCAAUAACUGAAUCAUGAAUGUAAUGUCGGUGGGAAACACAUACUCCCCCAAGCUUAGGCUUUUGGCCUAACUUGGUAGUCGAUCAGAAGUCUGGAUGGUACUAGGGGUACUGAGGAGCGGGCAUCCACUGAUCCCACUACUAAGGCUCCUCUUCUUCCUCUGUAGCAACCUAAGCGUUUCGGUAGGUGAUGAUGUCCGCAGGCAUGAUCUCAUAUCCGCCCCUGGCAACAUAAUCAAACAAAGCAGGAGCAGGCAACGGAAUAAUAUCACGGGUUUCAAUGCUGAAAACCAGGUUAUAUGGAAAAGAAAUGUCAGGAGAUCUAUUAUCAGUAAAAUGGUGGUGAUCCAUGGCAGCAGGGUCUAGGUAAACCUUGGUCAUAGGAUAAUCAUGAGGGCGUAUCUCAAUCUCAAAGUGAGCCACCAAACGAGUAGCAUAAAUCCCACCAUGAACUUUACCCUUGGAUUUAUUAAGGUGGAGGCGACGAGCCACAAUAGCUCCCAAGCUAUAAGUGUUGUCGCCCUCUAAUGCACGAUGCAAAACAGCAAGGUCUGGUGAGCUGAGCGCACCCACGUUCUCCCUAGCAAGCACGCAUUUUGCAAUGAAAAGAAUGAACCACAGAAAUAUGCAAGCCAGCGGCAGUGAUAGCUGACACCCCUCUCUCAUCUCCCACUGUCAAAGUGCGAUAAAAGGCCUCAAACUCAGUCGGCCUAGGCUCGGCUAAGCUCCCAUCAGAAGGGAUGAUGCAUAUGUUACAAAAUUCAGUAAGUGGUAUCUGAUGGUUUUCAUCAUAUAAAUCAAAGCUCUCUUCAGGAGGAUUAUUCCUAGGCAGGAAAGUAAAUCUUUGAACAAGGAUGUUAGUGAGGAUUUGGUGUUGUUCACACUCAUUUGUGAUGAAGUUGGUAAGGUCGACAUUUGCAGCAUAUUGCAUGAACUCCUGAAGGAUUCCAGCCUCUUCUAGGAAUGGGGUGUGCGGCCAUUCACACGGCCGUAACUCCGCCAACCUCCGAGGAUGAAGAUCACUAUCAGAUGACUCCCCAAUAACACCCUUGGAGUUCUUCUUAGAUCCAAACUUCCUAAAUAUAUUCAUGGUUUUCCUAUGAACAAAAUUCUGAAAUUUAUUAGCCUGCAAAAUUUUCUCAACAAAACUUCACGAAAAUGAUACCAACUACUCAUUGGGAUACAUAGAGGCCAAAGCAAGCAUUCAAACUACUUAGAACACUAAGAAUUCAACAUGCAAUCUCAUCUAUAACAGCACCAAGAGUAGCUAAUUAUUCAAAAUAUAAGCCACAAAAACAAAAACUAAUUGGACAAACAGUGGUCACAUACCUAGCAACAAUCCCCUGAAAUAGUUUCGGAAAUAGAGCUUUGAGCAAAGAGAUCGAAAUACGUGGAGCAAUGGAGAUUUUUUUCUGGAGGUAGGUGAUGAUGUGGUAUGAAGAGAUAAGUGAGGGGGCCCACAUGGGGACCACAACCCACGAGGGCGCGCCUGGGGGUCCUGGCACACCCAGGUGGGUUGUCCCCACCAGGCGCACCUCCCUCUGAUCUUAUUUGCAUCAAAAAUUCAGAAAUAUUCGGAAAAAAUCGUAUUGAAUUUUCAGGCCAUUUUGAGAACUUUUAUUUUUGGGUCAUUUUUAUUGCAUAGGAAAAUCAGAAAAUAGAAAAAACAUGUCAUUUUAUUUUAUUUAACUAAUAAAAACAUAGAAUAAAAACUAGGGAUAGAAAGUAGUUCUUACUAAAUUCAUCAACUUCAUACUGCUCAAAAAUGAUCCAUUAAUAAGGUUGAUCAAGUCUUAUUAACAACCACUUUUGAUUAGCAUGAAACCAAAGAACUUUCGUAAAUCACUAAGUUACCUCAAUGGGGAUAUGAAUGUCCCCAACAAUAAGCAUUUCAUAUUUCUUUUUGACAGUAGGUAGAGGUAUUUGAAAACUUCCAAUAGUGAUUGUCGGAGAUUUUUCAAUAACAUUAAUACCAUUCACUUGGAAUUGUUUCUUCGGAAAGUGUACCGUAUGCUCAUUACCAUUGAUAUGAAACAUAACCUUGCUUUUAAUGCAAUCAAUAACAGCCCCUGCAAUAUUCAAGAAGGGUCUACCAAGGAUAAUCGACAUGCUGUCGUCCUCAGGCAUGUCAAGUAUAACAAAGUCAGUCAAAAUAGUAACAUUAGCAACAACAAUGGGCACAUCCUCACAAAUACCAAUAGGUAUGGCAGUUUAUUUGUUAGCCAUUUCCAAAGAUAUUUCAGUGGGUGUGAGUUUAUUCAAAUCAAGUCUUUUAUAUAAAGAGAAAGGCAUAACACUAACACCAGCUCCUAAAUCAAACAAAGCAGUUUUCACAUAAUUCUUUUUGAUAGAGCAAGGUAUAGUUGGUAUUCUCAGAUCUCGAAGUUUUUUAGGUACUCCAUCUUUCAAAGUAUAAUUAGCAAGAAUAGUGGAGAUUUUAGCUGCCGAUAUUUUUCUCUUAUUACUGAUGAUGUCUUCCAUAUACUUUGCAUAAGGAGGCAUUUCCAAGAUAUCAAUCUAGUGAGUACACAAAAAGACUGGCCUCAACAUUUCAGCAAAGCGUUCAAAUUAUUCGUCAUCAUUCUUUUUAGUUGACUUAGGUGGAAAAGGCAUAGGUUUUUGAACCCACGGUUCUCUUUGUUACCAUGUUUUUUAGAAAUGAAGUCUCUUUUAUCAUACCUUUUAUUCUUAGGUUGUGGGUUAUCAAGAUCAAUAGGUGGUUCUAUCUCAACAUCAUUGUAUGGUUCUUUAUUAUUUGGUUGAGUGUACUCAUGAACAUCAGCAAUAUCUUUUUCAUUAUCACUAGGUGAGUGUUCAUUACCAGACUGAGUUUUAGCAUCAGAGAUAAAAACUUCAUAAUCAUUGUUAGGAGGUUUCUCUAUUUCAGGUUCACUAGGAGCAUGCAAAGUACUAUCAUUUUUCUUUUUCUUUUUCUUUUUAGAAGAACUAGGUGCACUAGUGUUAGCUCUUUGUGAAUCUUGUUCAAUUAUUUUAGGGUGUCCCUCAGGAUAAAGUGGUUCCUGAGUCAUUUUACCUCCUCUAGUUGCAACUCUAACAGCAAAGUCAUGCAUAUUAUUAUUCAUUUCAUCAAGCAACUCUCUUUGAGAUUUAGCAACUUGUUCUAACUGAGUUUGAACCAUAGAAGCAUGCUUUCCAACACCUCUAAUAUAAUUUGAUAUUCUAAAUAACAAGUCACUCAAGCGAGAAAUCAUAUCAGAAUUGUAUUUCAAUUGUUUCAUAACAUUUGCAUUGAAGUGAUCUUGUUUUCUGAUAUAAUUUUCAAACUCAUAAAGGCAUUGGCUAGGAUGCAUAUUGUGAGGAUUGUCAUUAUAAUUGAACUUCAUAAGAGAAUUUAUCUCUACCACCUUAGGCAGCGGUGGUGUAUUAAGCCCAUAUAUUUCUUCAAUAGGAGGUAAAUUUUUAAAAUCCUCGACUUUAAUACCUUUUCCUUCAUAGAUUUCUUUGCCUCUUGCAUAUCUUCAGGACUGAGAUAUAAUAUACCCCUCUUCUUCAGAGUGGGUUUAGCCGGUGGUUCAAGAAGAGUCCAAUCAUCAUAAUUUUUCAAUAUAUUAUUCAAUAAUUCUUUAGUUUGUCCAACAAUUCGUUCCCUGAAAACACAACUAGCACAACUAUCUAGGAAGUCCCUAGAAGUAUCAGUUAGUCCAUUAUAGAAGAUAUCAAGUAUUUAAUUUUUCUUAAGAGGAUGCUCAGGAAAAGCAUUAAGUAACUGGCAAAGUGAGAGCAGGAUUUCUGCAUCUCUUCAACGCAAACGAUUUUUUUGGAUGACCCAUGUGCAACCACUUACAAACAAUUUGGUAAGGUUUGCAUCUGUCAUAUUAGCUAUGUUGCCAUUUGUCAAACUCGAAAGAUUGACAAAUGUUGAUCUAGUAACAUUGCCAUUUCUCAACCUUGUAACACCGCGAUUUGUCAAAAUAUGAAGCUAAAAAUCACUAGCAGUAUCUAAUUUUUGCAACUAAAAUUCAUUAAUUAAGCAUAUAUUUCAUUCAUAGAUUAAGCAGUGGUUCUUUAUACAAAUAGUUCAACUUGAGAGCCGAACAAACUUUUCACCAAUUGUUGCCAACCACAUACUAAAAUAACUAGUUCUACUUUAUAUACUAGCUAAUUUUAAGUAUGGUGUACAGUUCCACCACAUCUAUAGUCAGAUGAACUGAACAAAAUAGCCCCUAAAUACUACUACUACCACUAUGGAGGAGAUUUUUACUACUUCCGACAGCCUCUCCUCUGCCGAGCGUGUUCAGUAAGAGGCAGAGGAGGAGGAGCCUAUCGACAAGCUAGACAACUGCAAUAUGGUGCCUGCCACUGCUGCACCUUUAGUGACACUCACCUCGAAUGCCCUUUGUCGCUCCAAACGACCCCUCUGGAAGCGGUGGUUCUCCUCAUGGAUCUGCUGAUUCCUCGCCUUUGAGGCGGCGUGUGCCGCGGCCACGGCGGCGGUAAGGCUCUUUGCAUGCUUGAUGAGGCGCUCCUCCUCCUCCCACAGGAACUCGAUGUAGCGCGCAAGGUCGCUGACGCACGUGCGGGUAUCCACCUCCGCCUCCCGCCUUCGAGCGGCGGUGGCAGAGCGGGUGAUGAGCCUAGCGGUUGAAGGUUGGCUGACGGCCACGGCGGCCGACGAUGGGGUGGCGGCCACGACCACCACCUCCCGCCUUUGGGCCGCGGUGGCGGAGCGGGUGAUGGCCAUGGUGCCCGAUGGUGGGGUGGCGGCCACGACGGCCACCUCCCGCCUUCGGGUGGCGGUGGUGGAGUGGGCGAUGGCCCUAACUUUCGAUGGUGGUGUGGCGGCAAUGGCAGCCAGCAAUAGCUGCCGACAGGCAGCGGAGGCGGAGCGUGUGGUGGGUGUUCCGCGCACACCCAACAGGGACUCCACACGCACUACAGUAAGCUAGGGACUGCGCCGCCGCCGCGGUGUAGCCUCCCAGAUGGAGCUGCCCUUUGAUGAUGGCGGAGUUGCUGAGCGAUUGGCGAUUGUGGGAGAAGCAGAGGAGAUAAGAUACAUGGAGGGAGGGGAAAAUGCGACGCAGGACUCGCCGGCCGUGAGGGUUUAUAUAGCAGGCCGGUAAGCAUUGGGAUUUUGGGGGAUUUCACUGAGUCGGGCGGGAAGCUUGCGUGGGAACCUGCGAGGUUGAGCGGGAAGGGCUCGCCGACAAUUCAUUGAAGCCAUCGUUUGGCCAAAAGAACGCCCCCGCGCACUACACAAGCUUGCGUUGUAAGCUGUCUGCGGCAGCGGGGUGACAAGACGUGCGUGAGGAGGACGAAAGGCCACAUACACAUACGGUUAAUAAAAAAUGUUUGUGAUUUAAUUACCUACUAUACCGCCGUCCUGGUUUAUAAGUAGGAUUUAACUAAUAAAAUAUGAAUGCAUGUCGCCAAAGAUUAUAUAGUUGGAUUCGUAUUUGAACAUAGUUUCAAUUAUAUAAUUUUUGUAACAUUUAACAUUUUGUUGGUUAAAUUUGAGGGCAAAGUAUGGCACAGAAUAUAAAGGGGACUAUAGACCAAGACCGAGGUUGUAGCACACGUCCGCUCUAUAUGUAGCGACGCAACUGUCGGCCGACUUGUAGGCGACCAUUUCCUGCGUGUUCAACUACUCUAUGCAUGUGGUUGCUUGCGGUUGAGGCGGAUGCGGCGUGCUCUGCUCGCGUCCCUCCGCGCGCGCUUUGCUCUCGCAUCCCUCCGGGUGCUCUGCCCUCGUCCCUCUACGCGUGCUGCCAGUGUUUGGGGCCGAUACACAAUCACACACGUUCGUGUGCAUGCGGUUACUCCAGGCGCGGCGCGACAAUGCAGUUACCCGCUGCAAAAACUGCCAUGCAGACAAGCAGAGAAUCCAGGCCGCCCGGCCCCCAUUUAUUCCUGCAGCCAUUUACCUUCAUCUCUCGCGUCACACGACACAAUAAGCACACCGACACAUACGAAGAGGACAUCCAGCGGUUCCAAUGGCGAUCCCCGUGGCUCCAAUGGCGCUACCAGCAGCCGACAACGACAACGGCGAGCAGUUCACCACACAUCACGUAGUGGACACCCACGUGAGGGGGAAGGCCCUCUUGGUGGUGUACACGAACGAUACGGUCUCGGUGGAGAGCUCCAUCCAAAAUAUGGAGCAGUUCCUUGCCGAGCACAAGUACCAAGUGGUUCACUUCGACCUCUAGUACACCAUCGGUUGUGCCGGUCACGAUCAAAAGGUUGUCGUCGCCCAGUUGUGUGUGCGACAUGACGUCCUCCUCUACCACUACCACCUGGCCACAAGGCCUUGCGAGCAUUUCUCCAGGUUUAUCAAUAGCUCCGACUACAAUUUCGCUACGGUGGACACCACCAAUGGUCUAAAAGCGCUCAAGGUUUUGGGCUUGAAAUGCCCGAAUCUGGUCAACAUCCAGCACCACUACAAGGUCUCGGGCAGCGACAAAAACAAACUGAACUCCCUGGUUGACCUCGCCUCGGCCAUCAUCGACCCAUACUACAUGAAGAUGAAGAAUGAGAGCAAGAAGGACAAGAACGUCUGGCACAGUGUGUGGUAUGAGAGACUAGAUGAACAACAUGUCAAGUAUGCGGCCAAGGACGCGUACACAAGCUACGAGAUGUACAGGAGGAUCGUUGACAUGAGGAAGUGUCUUCUUCCUGCCCCAGACGAGGGAUCGAGCCACAGAGCUCUGGCGGGAGCAUCUCAAGAAGUAGAUGACUAGAUGAUCGUUUCUCCUACUUUAGAAUGCAUGCAAUUGUUUAUUGAGGUGUGCGAAUGAUCUGUAUAGUCACUUAUGUAAUUGGAUGCUUAUUUUAGUUAUAUAUAUACACACACACACACAUCUGGGCUAUUCUGUUUCGCGUAACAGAAUAUUAUUCUGUUACCCUACUUGAACUCACGGUUCCAGGCGGUUGUACUGAUAUUUUUCAUCUCGUCGAACUGAUCGUCUUUUCGUCGGAAUGGGGCGUGUAAUAUAUUGUUGGAAAGCUCUUGACAUCUACAUUACAAAUAUAUAGGAAUUUUUUGCAAAAUCAUCAAGGUUUAAGAGCAGUUUUGAAAAAACCAUGUUUUUCAAAACCAAAACCGUAAAUCAUAUUUUAGACUCAAUUUUCAAAUGGUUUAUCGGAAUUGAGCAAAUAAGAUGUUAUUGGAAAGCUGGUAAAAAGCCGCAUUUUACAUGUAUGUACUGUUUUUUCAAAUUAUAUACAAUUUAAAAGUAAUUUGAAAAACGGUGAAAUUCUGGGCGAAACGUAUUUUUGUGUUUUUUUGCAAACGGUUUGUCGGAUUGAUGCAAAUGAUACGGCGUUGGAAAGAUAUGAACAAUGUGCAACUUUUUCGUAUAGAAAUGUUUUUCUAAUUCCUUACGGUUUAAAAACAAAUUCGAAUACGGUCAAAUUUGAUUUUGAACGCAAUUUUUUUAAACAGUUUGUCGAAAUAGGGCAAAUAAUAUACCGCUGGAUAGCUAUAAAAAUGCAAAACUUAGUCAUGUUGAACGUUUUCUCAAAUUCGCAAUCGUUGAUGAGUAAUUUUGAAUACGGUGAGACAUAUCAUGAUGUUUUUCCGUCAAAAAAAGCAGAGUACUUGUACUGAACAAUGUACAUGUCCGUACUGAUUUAUUUUUCACAGAGUAAAUUUGAAAGGUCCAAAAAAGAGAUUACUUGAACAGAUGUCCGUAUGAAUUUGUACUAAGCAUGUUUUCAUAGACUAGACUUUUACUCUGUUUUUUCGGUAUAUGAUUUUCCUUGUAACGUUUCAAUGAUACACGAUAUUAGUCUCCGAACUUUGCAUGGUUUAUAUGUUGAGCUUAAUCAUAUUUUUUGAAAGAAAAUUUUUAUGUGUUUAUUUUUUUGAACUCAACUUUUUUGCAACGAUGUGUUGGACUUCUCUUGUUUUGCGACUUGAACUUUUAUCAUUUGAAUUUUUGAGGGGUUUCUCUUUGUUUGAGCUUUUUUCCCAAAUUUAUCUUCGACAUUGUGUUGAACUUAUUACUUUUUAAAUUUUUCAACUUGUUGUGUUUUUACAAUGCCAAAACCAGCAAAUAGUAUGAGAUUCGCCUAACAAAGGGACUAAUUACAUAGAGCAGCUGCAGUAAUACAAUGGUCUGAUCGAUAGCUAGCAUCAAUAACAAUGGUUACCAGCACACAUACACAUGAACUGAUAACAAACUUGCACACGACCUGACAAAUAAGAAAACACAUGAAUUGACAAAGAGGACACAAUACACAUGAACUGAUAACAAACUUGCAGAGGACCUGACAAGAACACACAUGAACAGACAACGAUAACAAAUUUGCAGGCGGCUUGACAACAAGUACAAGUGACUGGUCUAUAACACAGAAGAUGAACUAAAUAUCAAGUUUAACUGAUUCAAUAUGUUUUGCCGCCUCCUCCUGCGCUGGACUUCUUUCUCUUUCUGCGGUUGAACUGAUGUCGAUCCUUUUUGUCGAACUUCUACUUGCUAGUCUGAGAUCUUUUAAUGAAAACUUACUGAAGAAAACAGAGGGGCGAAGGAUGUUUUCCGGUAUGGAAUAUGAAGAGGAAGCAAGAAGCUACACUAGUAUUUUUUUGCCUGUCAUUGUCCUUCACUGGGCACAUCCAUGGUCACUAUAAUACAUAAGAGUGAACACAAGUUCAGAAUUAGCGACAACACAAGUUCAAUAACAUGGUUAGUUUAGUAGAAUACAUAAGCAAACAGGGCUGAAUUCUUGUAAGCAUGAGAAAAUACAUAGAGUGCACAUAUAAUUUUUCAGGAUUUCCUAUGAUGUUCUGCACAUUAAAGUUGAUGUACUGAAAAGAACGAAAAAUUGAACUAAAAAUCAAGUAAAAGUUGAACUCUUAUAUAGUACAACACCCUAGCUUCAUUUUAACAAAAGAGAAACAUGAAAAGAAAACACGUUAAGUUGUUGUAGACAUUUCAGUAAACACCAUGAGGGCCACAAAAUAACAACAAUAGAAAACAUGGUUUUUCUUUCCUUUUUGUUCUGCAACUUCUCUGAAUUCAAAACCCUAUCCAUGUUCAUUUUGGAUCAUUUUCUCCGAAACUCCCAGAUUCCAGAACUACCGGAUGUUCUGGGUUCUCUUAUGAACUUCUUUAUUAUCUUUUUUUGAACUUGAAACGAAUAUAUAUAAUACACAUGUACUACACAAGAAUGUACAUCUAUACUGUCUAGAACACCAAAUUAACCAAAAGAAAACUAAUUUAUGAAGGAAACAAUUCCUCAAAUUCGUUGGACUUGUUCCCCUGUAGCAGGGUUGGUGCACCUGGUACCUCCUGUUCCAAAUCGACGGCUACAGUAGUAGAUGAGUAGUUUCCAGUUGUAGAUAAAGAUAAGUACAUUAUCAGUG
rnacentral:lncRNA from 1 species